rnacentral:rRNA from 1 species
UACGUAGGGGGCAAGCGUUGUCCGGAAUUAUUGGGCGUAAAGCGCGCGCAGGCGGUUCUUUUAAGUCUGGUGUCUAAGUGCGGGGGCUCAACCCCGUGAUGCACUGGAAACUGGGGGACUUGAGUGCAGAAGAGGAGAGCGGAAUUCCACGUGUAGCGGUGAAAUGCGUAGAGAUGUGGAGGAACACCAGUGGCGAAGGCGGCUCUCUGGACAGUUCCUGACACUGAGACACGAAGGCCAGGGGAGCAAACGGGG